AGUGAACGCUGGCGGUAGGCCUAACACAUGCAAGUCGAACGGCAGCCCAGGAGAGCUUGCUCUCUGGGUGGCGAGUGGCGGACGGGUGAGGAAUACAUCGGAAUCUACUUUUUCGUGGGGGAUAACGUAGGGAAACUUACGCUAAUACCGCAUACGACCUACGGGUGAAAGCAGGGGAUCUUCGGACCUUGCGCGAUUGAAUGAGCCGAUGUCGGAUUACCUAGUUGGCGGGGUAAAGGCCCCCCAAGGCGACGAUCCGUAGCUGGUCUGAGAGGAUGAUCAGCCCCCCUGGAACUGAGACACGGUCCAGACUCCUACGGGAGGCAGCAGUGGGGAAUAUUGGACAAUGGGCGCAAGCCUGAUCCAGCCAUACCGCGUGGGUGAAGAAGGCCUUCGGGUUGUAAAGCCCUUUUGUUGGGAAAGAAAUCCAGCUGGUUAAUACCCGGUUGGGAUGACGGUACCCAAAGAAUAAGCACCGGCUAACUUCGUGCCAGCCGCCGCAGUAA
rnacentral:rRNA from 1 species